rnacentral:rRNA from 1 species
UACAGAGGGUGCGAGCGUUAAUCGGAAUUACUGGGCGUAAAGCGCACGUAGUCGGCUUUGCAAGUCGGGUGUGAAAUCCCCGGGCUCAACCUGGGAACUGCAUCCGAGACUGCAUUGCUAGAGUAUGGGAGAGGGAAGCGGAAUUUCUGGUGUAGCAGUGAAAUGCGUAGAUAUCAGAACGAACAUCAGUGGCGAAGGCGGCUUCCUGGACCAAUACUGACGAUCAGGUGCGAAAGCGUGGGGAGCAAACAGG